CAGCCUGCCUGUUGAGGCGAUGUUGUGGAUGUCCCUGGCUCCAGUGUUCCCUGCUUUGGAUGAUGUGGGGCAGCAUCCACUUGAAUGCACUUCACCAAGGAGGCCAAGGUUUUGGAAGGAAGCCCUUCUCCACUCCCAUCUCAAUAUUAGACCAUCGAAGCAUGGGACAGGAAGCUCUGGCCCCCCACCCUGGAGUCCUGAUCAGUGUACACAGCUGCCUGUCCCUUUCCCUUGUGUCCAUCCGGGAGCAGUCUUCUGCCAGAAAAUAUUUAUACAAAGAUCAAGAUCAUUAACCAUAAAAAGUUCACAUUUUAACUAUUCGGCCUCCAGAUUUCUGUGCUCAAGUUCCUGCCUUGACUUCCUUCCACAGUGGACUGUCACCUGUAAGCCAAAUAAACCCUUUCCCAGAA